CUCGUAGGCGGUCCGCCAAGUCAGGGGUGAAAUCCCUCGGCUCAACCGAGGAACUGCCUCUGAAACUGACGGGCUAGAGGGCAGGAGGGGAGAGCGGAAUUCCUGGUGGAGCGGUGAAAUGCGUAGAUAUCAGGAGGAACGCCGGCGGCGAAAGCGGCUCUCUGGUCUGCACCUGACGCUGAGGAGCGAAAGCUAGGGUAGCAAACA
rnacentral:rRNA from 1 species